GUGUUGGUUUCCUGGGAAAAUAAUAAUGUAUUCUUGGAAGCACUUCUAGUUAUUCAUGUAAUUUAAAAAGUACACCUAUAAAGGGAGAAGAAGCAUGUGAAUUUGUCAGGGAAAGAAAAGAAGAGCGAAGCAGGAAAUGAGGAAGAAGGGAGUUAUGGAAAAGAAGCAGUUGGGAGGAGCACAGUGAGAAUUGAGGAAAGUUUGUUUUUACCGUCAUUCUUGCUCUCUGACAACUUACUUAGUUUUCAGCUCUGUUUAUCAGAUUGUUGUGCAAUUUAUCAUAUUAAUUUUUUAUACUUUCAUAUUUAAUUGAUAAUUUAUUAUUUUAAAAUAAUUCCUAAUCCCCUCACAUCCUUUAAGUGUUCAAAUAUCACUUUGUCAGACAGUAUACUGACUAAGAUUCUGUGACCUGACACCCCUCGCCAAUCCCUGUACUUUGGAGCUCCCUUACCGUGUUCCACUUGUUCAUCGUUUCAUUGCACUUGUCACCUUCUGGGAAGAAUUGUAAUUUACUUAUUUGUUAUUUUUGUUUCAAUCUGAUUUUGCCACUCCCUCCCCUUCCACCCCCACCCCCCACCCCUGGAAUAGAAGCUCCUUGAACUCAUGUAACUUAAGAGACUGUUUUACUCAUUCACCUUAUAUAUAUCUAUGAUAGUUGCAUACUGGGCUGGGUGUUCGGUGGCUUGUGUGUUCUCAUUUUAUCACUUGACAUGGAAGUAUGUGUGUUUAAAGAUGAGUUGUUGCUUGAGCUGAUGCCUGCCUCCUGAAAUGUCUCUAUAACAUAGCUUAGUAAGAUAUUAACAAAUCCCAGUGAAACACGUCUGCUCUACUGUUGUCUCCAGCUCCUGGUCUCUUCAAACUUUUAAAACUGUCAUAGAUUACUGGAAACACAACUGCAUUUGAAAUUAUGUCAAUACAACAGUAGUUGCAGAUGCUCCAUUAAGGGUUUAAAAACUAAAUUGUCAGCCAAAGAAAAUGGCUUGUAAAUGUUUGGCCAUCACUCCAGUCCUGCAGAAGUAAGUUUUGUGGCAAUGAGGGAAGUGGGGCUCCCUGCUCACUAACACAUAAAUGACUAAACUGGAGAGAUUUCUUAGGGUGUCUGCUAACCAGUGGUGUGGAUAUGUAACUGGAUGCUGGUAUUGCAGUGCAGUUGUAGUGAAAAUCCAGGAGGUGAUGAAAGACAGUCUAUGGUAAUAGAACUGGAGGAACUUGGGGGAUUGGAUCAACUAGGUACAGUCUUGCUGCUCCCUCUUUUUCAUUUGUAUAAGCAUUUUUUCUACAAUCUAGAAAGUGCAGUGCAGUGCUUUCCAAUUUAAUUGAUGGCCCGGUCUGGCAUAAGUGAUUCCACAUGGUGGUUGACAAAUGACUCUUGGGUUAGCCCUCCACCCCUCUUAUUCAAGAAAUAGACAAAUUAGCAGAAUUUUCUCUUUUCUCUAUAGAACUAUCACUUGCACAUCUAUUUAUCUAUCUUAGAUGAAAUUUUAAAUAUUUUAUAAACUGAUGAGACCUCUUGUUCUUGGUUUCGGCAGAAAGUGGAAUAUCAUAAAUAAAAUUGUCUUACAUUCUCAGUCAUCGGGUUGAUGGAUGGUUAAAGGAAAAGCAGCAUCCUGGGUUUUUCAGAGGCAUUGCUAUGCUUAGAUCAGAUUAUAUGGUGACUUGUAGUGUAACCAUGCUAAUAUCUCUUUACACAAGAAAAAUUUCUUCUAAAUAACAAUAUCAAUUUUGGACUGCUCAAGGGAUUUAGUAGAAAGGCUUAGAACAUGGCAGUGGUAAUAGAUACUCAGAAGGUCAAAAAUUCUCAGCUAGAGAAUGGUUCAAUAUGCUCAUUUAUCACUUUCCACUUUUGCUCAUAUAAAACAAAGACAUACAACUAGGUGUAAGGUCAAGUACUGUACCAGCACAAUCAGGCUUUAAAAAAAGUAAAGCAAAUCCCAAUUUACUACUGUCAGUUCACAGAAUUCACUCUGAUAUAAUCUUCAUGUUGUAGAUAUUUCUGAUUGAGGUGUUCCCAAAACUCAUGGGCAGAAAUAAACUGAAUGACAAACGAUGUGACUCUUCCACAUAUAUAACACAUGUCAUCUAAAAAUUGUAAUGCACAUAUAAUUACCUAGUUAAUAAUUUUCUAGAAAAAUACUGAUGAAAAUAAUCUGAAUUUACCAAGAAUCAGACAGAGACAAUUGAGAGAAAACAAAGUGAAAGCUUUCUUUAAUCUAUUGGUUAGGCUAGAUUGGACAGAUGGCUUUUACAACAUUCUUGGGAGAAUUCACAAUUUAGGAUUCAUAAGCUGUGAUCCUCAGAUGAGGACAGUGGAUACUCACGCACAUUACUGAAGCCAAGUGGUAGGACGAUACACUGCAUCCAAGCUGUUUCCAUGAGUGAAUAGGCUCUAGCCUUUCUGGCUUGUUUUCUCGGUGCUGGAGAAGACAUCACACAUUCUUUGGAAGUAGAGUCCAACCCAAAACUCCACUAGAUCUCCUGUCCUGCCUCUGUGUGGUCUGGGUGACCCACUUUAGCCUGAAGGAGCUCUGGGAAAUUCGAUACGUCUACAACCAGUUUAAGGGCUACUCCUGGGUGGUCCUUAGCAGUUAAUAGGGUUUGAUUCCGGGGCCAUUAUAUGAGAUUCAGAGAAGCCCAAGAAUCUGGGCCUGGACAAGAUCCAGUCUGUUAAGAAUGGUGAUUACUCCUGAGCGUUUCAAUAUAUAAACUGGAAGGACUAGAGCAGUUCUGGGAGAAUGUACAGAUAACAUCAAACACACCUCACCAACUCUGCAGCCAUCUUGGUUACCAUCUAACAAGGUCCAACUCAAGGCACCAUUUUCAGAUUGAGCAAUAACUAGGCAUUAAGACAGGUGUCCAGAACUUUCCAGGAAUGGCCUUAUGACUAGAAAGACCCAAAGGCAUUUGCUUUAAUCUACUUAGAUUCAGUGAUUUCUCUAAAUGAUAUCAAUUCUUAAUUAUAUGCACAUUAAUAAAAGAACUGAGAUGUGGCAAAUCUAAAACUCAUUUAUAUUUUAUUAUAAAAAAUAGUGGGUAGGGCUUCCCUGGUGGCGCAGUGGUUGAGAGUCCGCCUGCCAAUGCAGGGGACACGGGUUCGUGCCCCGGUCCGGGAAGACCCCACAUGCCGCGGAGUGGCUGGGCCCGUGAGCCAUGGCCGCUGAGCCUGUGUGUCCAGAGCCUGUGCUCCGCAACGGGAGAGGCCACAACAGUGAGAGGCCCACACACCGCAAAAAAAAAAAAAGUGGGUAGUGGAAAGAGCAUGUGCUUUGGAGACAGCCAGUCCUGAGUUUGAAUUCUCACUCCCCAUUUACUGGCAGAGAGACUGGCUGAGAGACUUGGGGCGUUAUCCCAAGAGGUAAUACGUGCAGAAAAUAUCAAGGAUUAUUCAAAAAAUGUUCAGAUAUGUUUGUAUGUGUCAAUCUUGUAAGAAAAGUAACAAUGUUUCAACCGUAAAAACCUACUUGCAAUUGCAAAAUGCCUCUUUUAUCUGUCUCCAUAGCAAUCAUUAGCAUCUAACAUAAUGUAUAUUUUACAUAUUUACCUCGCUUGCUCCCUGUCUCCCAUCCCCACUUUCCCCCCAAAAGUAAGAGUUCACGGUUGCAGGAAUUUACUGUCUGCUUUGCUCACCAUUGCAUCCUCAGGAACUGCAGUAGAAACUGGUACAUAGUGUCGGGUGGAGUUUCCUGAUUGUGGCAGGAGUGGCCAAGGCCUGAUGGGUCCUCUCUGCAGUGGUUGGGAGUCAGUCCUCCAGGCCCACUUGGAGCCUCCUCUGCUGCCUUGCCCGGAUUGGUAGGCACCAGUUAAGUGAGUUAAUCGUUUUUCUGCUUAAAAUUGCUUAAGUUCAUUCAUUUUUCUGAGUCUGAACCGUUGUUAUAAUUUAGUAAAGGAAUUAUUUAGAAAUAGCUGUUCUGUGAAUUCACACUAUAAAGGCAGAGGGUGGGGCUUAUUUUGUUCUUCACUUCUGAUCUAAAGAGAGGGCUUUAAGAGAACAUUGAGAAUCUAGUUCAGUCCAUGGCAGACUGGGGGAGACACCGGAGCCUAGAGUCUGACUUCGGCUGUUAAGUAUAAAGGUCACAAAUGAGUGACUAGCCAGCAGCUGGUAAAUAAGCCAAGGAGGGGGGAAGCAGGGACUAACUCUUGUGUUUAGAAGUUCUCAAAGACACCUGAGCCAUCCGACCCGCACCAUAUACGGGCCGUGUGUGAGAAAGAACCUGCAUGAGAUCAUCUCAGUUUCUGCAGGCUCCUCUCUGAAGGAGAGGAUGUGAUCUCAAGGGAGAGAUGCUGAAGAGGCCCAGACCCUGAAGGAUUCUCAAUGGAUACAAAAGGAGUAAUCAACCAACCUCUUCCCUAGAGAUGGAGGUUUCUGAAGAACCUAAGAAACACUCUGAGUCAGCUUUAUGUCUGCAGGCCUCAGGGAUUACCACGCCAGCUCAGAACAAUACCCUCAACGGGGGACUUUUGAUCACUGAAUGGGAGUCGACCUUCUGAUUGAGCUACAUUUGAAGACUCAAGGUGAGGUAGGUGGUAUCUCCCUCUUCGGCAGAUGAGGAACCGAACGCACUGGAGAUUUAAAUGAUUUGCCCAAAGUCACAGUAAGUUGCAACCUGAUUUUAUUUUAUUUGAUUUGUUUUUUUACUGUUAAAAUUGAGAUGUAAUUCACAUACCAUAAAAUGUAUACAUAAAGUUUACAAUUCAGUGGUUUUUAGUAUAUUCACAAAGUCGUGCAACUAUCAACACUAUCUAGUACCAGAAUAUUUCCAUCAUACCAAAAAGAAACCCCAUACUCAUGAAGCAGUAACUCCCCAUAUCCCUCGGCAACCAUUAAUCUAUUUUCGAACUCUAUGGAUGUGCGUAUUCUGGACAAUUAAUAUAAACAGGAUCAUACAAUAUGCAACCUUUGUGUCUGGCUUCUUUCACUUAGUAUAAUUUUUUAAAUAAAUUUAUUUUAUUUAGUUUUG